ensembl:lncRNA
AAGGGCUAGCCUCUGAAGGGGGAGCAUCUCUUGGGUGAAGGCUGCUUCCUGAGAAGUAGUGUUCUGUAGUUAGAAGACCCUCAUCACCAGUCAGAGAUAAAGAUCACAGGAUCAUGGGUUAAUUCAGGAGGGAAAGGAUUCCAGGAUGCCUCUAAACCAAUCUGCUUCUCAGAGACUGCACAACCAACAACCAAUCUGGGCUAUCCACUGCACUGCUGGAUCUAUCUCAGGGUGAAAGGUAGCUUCAAUUGAAGCUGAUAUGAUGGUGGGAUUUAUUAACAACCGAGAAGGAAAAAAAAAAUCAACUAUAUUUUUAUCUGAGAACCUAUGAAACCAGGGAAAGCAAAGCCAUGCUGUUCUGGCCACAGACUGCUACCAAAGAAGAGAUUCAUUAGUCAUAAGUUUGAGCUGUGAAGGUAUACAGGUCAAAUACUAAACAAGGAAUGUGCUUCAUCUCCAGUAUGGAUCAUACAGACCCCUGCUCUUUUCCCAGAAACACAUACAUAAAUCAUAUUUAGAAUGUACAAAAUCCUGUGCAUGCCUAAAAACCUCAAAGUUUUGCUUUAACCAAAUCUUCUCCUUUGUCAUCUUUUAUGGUACAAGACUCGUCUAGAAUCAAAUGAAAAAAGCAGAAGAUAUCAGGAAAUAGAAAAAUUUUAAAUGGUCUGGAAGGUUUUGGAGAAUACAAAACAUUGGUCUAAUAUAAACCUAAGUAGAAAUCCCAUUCAAUAGCUACUCUAUUUCUUGUCUAUUUCUUUAGUCAUUUUUACAUUAAAAGAUGUUUCUAAAAAAAAAUCUAAAAAAAGAUUUUUACAUUAAAAGAUGAACAAAAAUUAAUUUUUCUAAUGUGUACUAGCAGCUCAAAUGGCAACAUUUUCCAAAUGAAUAUGAGAACUGAACUUAAUUUUACUUGCUAGCCUUCAAUUUUUGUGCUUAUCCUCGUUAGUUUUAAUCAUGUACUUUCAAAUCAUUUUCAGUGUUAUUUAUGAUCUGUUUCUUUGUAAUUAAUAGCUACGUGCAUGCCUUUGUGACUCUCACACAUUUUUAGCCACUCAUUUAGUAUUUCUAGAAAGCUGCAGUCUGGUGGCACAGAAACUAGCAAUAGAUGGAACUAGACUGUUGAAAUUAAUGAAAGCUAUAACACUUUAUAGUUUAAUCAUUAGGUCUAGGGACUUAUAUAAUACAACGACUACACUAUAACCAACACUAAAUAAGCACUUUCUUAUAUCUUUAAGGAUUUGUUUUUAGGAUAUCAUUAAAAGGAAAAAUAAAUCAUUGAUGACUUUCUAUCAUGAUUGUAAAUUACAGUUAUUUUCAAAUAUUUUUAAGUAUCAAUUGACAUGAGAGUGUCAUAUCAUAACAUACAUUAGCAGUUUAAUGUUGAGAUAGGAUGAGACUUCAUACAAAUGGUUUUAACUUUUAAGAGGCUCUAUCAGUCCCCUUUGUUAGCAAAGAUGAAAUUUCUGUUCAUAAGUAACAUGAUUUCAAUACACAUUCAGUGAUAAUCCAAGUAAAAAGACACCUAUUCAAGUUGUUCUAUUGAAGUGUACUGAAGGGUUCUAACACAGUUUAUUCCUUUUUAGUGAAGAAAUAACUAGGAAAAUGGAAGCCUAGAAUAAGAAAGUUUUAAUGGCAGUAUAUGGACUCUUUUUUCCCCUAUCAAUAUUUUAUAGGCUAUAUCAUUUAUUUUAGUGCAGUUAAUAUAUUUUCCAAAUGAAAAUGAAUCAUAUCAUUUUGAGAGUUUUAAGCUAUACAAUAUAGUUCUGUGUUGCUAAUAAAAUCAAAAUUAAUAUAACAAGUUACACAUCUGUUUAAAUCAAAUAUCAUUAAAGGAAACAAUACAUGACAUUCAGGAACAGGCAUCUCUCAAAACUAUGUUGAUAUCUGUUGCAUGUUGUAAAUGUUUUGUGAAUUUUUAAAUUAUAUUUGCUUUUUUCACCUGCUUAAUGUACAUGUAAGAAAAUACUCUAUUUGGUCUGUAGUAAACAAGAGCAU